CUUUAAAAGAGGGCCUGGGUAUGCGGAGGAUUUGAGCUUAGAGAGAGACCUGGCAUGGGGGAACCUGGAUUUCAACCUCUCUUCCUUUUGGGAUAAAAAUAACAGCCAUGAUAAACUGUUAUAGUUGAUGAGGACCCAAAUCUUAAGCUGUUUGUUACACUGAUACUGGCACUUCAUUGUUCCAAACUUUCCCCAAGAUCAACUCCUCCUGGGACACCAACUGACUUUUCCUCUGCUACUUGUCACAAACCAAAAAGUGGGCUCAUAUUUGUGCUCCCAGCCAUGUGUGCUGUUUAUGAGUACCAGGAGAAAAUUAAAGCAGCUGCAGCUCUUUCAACUACA